AGGAAGAGGAAGAAGAGGAAGUAGAAGAAAGAGAGAUAAGCGAUGAAAACGUUUUAGAUAAAGACGGUUUUUUCUCUGUCUUUUCUUCCUUCCUUCCCAUUUCUUCUUCUUCUUCU
rnacentral:ribozyme from 1 species